rnacentral:rRNA from 1 species
GACAGAGGGUGCAAGCGUUAAUCGGAAUUACUGGGCGUAAAGCGCAUGUAGGUUGUUUGAUAAGUUGGGUGUGAAAGCCCCGGGCUUAACCUGGGAAUUGCAUUCAAAACUAUUAGACUAGAGUAGGAUAGAGGGAAGUGGAAUUUCCGGUGUAGCGGUGAAAUGCGUAGAUAUCGGAAGGAACACCAGUGGCGAAGGCGUCUUCCUGGAUUCAUACUGACACUGAGGUGCGAAAGCGUGGGGAGCAAACAGG